rnacentral:rRNA from 1 species
AGAGUUUGCUUCUGGCUCAGGACGAACGCUGGCGGCGUGCCUAACACAUGCAAGUCGAACGGAAGUUAGAGCUUCGGUUUUAACUUUAGUGACGAACGGGUGAGUAACGCGUGAGGAACCUGCCUUUCAGUGGGGGACAACAGUUGGAAACGACUGCUAAUACCGCAUAAUGUUAUCGGAUGGCAUCAUCUGAUAACCAAAGAUUUAUUGCUGAAAGAUGGCCUCGCGUCUGAUUAGCUAGUUGGUGAGGUAACGGCCCACCAAGGCGACGAUCAGUAGCCGGUCUGAGAGGAUGAACGGCCACAUUGGGACUGAGAUACGGCCCAGACUCCUACGGGAGGCAGCAGUGGGGAAUAUUGGGCAAUGGGGGAAACCCUGACCCAGCAACGCCGCGUGAAGGAAGAAGGCCUUCGGGUUGUAAACUUCUUUUACCAGGGACGAAGAACGUGACGGUACCUGGAGAAAAAGCAACGGCUAACUACGUGCCAGCAGCCGCGGUAAUACGUAGGUUGCAAGCGUUGUCCGGAUUUACUGGGUGUAAAGGGCGUGUAGGCGGAGAUGCAAGUUGGGAGUGAAAUCCCGGGGCUCAACCCCGGAACUGCUUUCAAAACUGUAUCCCUUGAGUGUCGGAGAGGCAAGCGGAAUUCCUAGUGUAGCGGUGAAAUGCGUAGAUAUUAGGAGGAACACCAGUGGCGAAGGCGGCUUGCUGGACGAUAACUGACGCUGAGGCGCGAAAGCGUGGGGAGCAAACAGGAUUAGAUACCCUGGUAGUCCACGCUGUAAACGAUGAAUGGUGGGGGUGGGAGGAGUGGCCCCUUCCGUGCCGCAGUUAACACAAAAAGUAUUACACCUGGGGAGUACGACCGCAAGGUUGAAACUCAAAGGAAUUGACGGGGGCCCGCGCAGGCAGUGGAUUAUGUGGUUUAAUUCGACGCAACGGGAAGAACCUAACCAGGAUUUGACAUCCAACUAACGAAGUAGAGAUACAUUAGGUGCCCUUCGGGGAAAGUUGAGACAGGUGGUGCAUGGUUGUCGUCAGCUCGUGCUGUGAAGUGUCGGCUUAAGUGCCAUAACGAGCGCAACCCUUGCCGUCAGUUGCCAUCAGGUUAAGCUGGGGACUCUGGCGGGACUGCCACCGCAAGGUGUGAGGAAGGGGGGGAUGACGUCAAAUCAGCACGGCCCUUACGUCCGGGGCGACACACGUGUUACAAUGGUGGGUACAGAGGGAAGCUACCAGGCGACUGGAUGCAGAUCUCGAAAACCCAUCCCAGUUCGGAUUGGAGUCUGCAACCCGACUCCAUGAAGUUGGAUUCGCUAGUAAUCGCGCAUCAGCCAUGGCGCGGU